rnacentral:rRNA from 1 species
AUUGAACGCUGGCGGCAGGCCUAACACAUGCAAGUCGAGCGAGCGGCGGACGGGUGAGUAAUGUCUGGGAAACUGCCUGAUGGAGGGGGAUAACUACUGGAAACGGUAGCGAAUACCGCAUACCAUCAGAUGUGCCCAGAUGGGAUUAGGUAGUAGGUGGGGUAACGGCUCACCUGGGCGACGAUCCCUAGCUGGUCUGAGAGGAUGACCAGCCACUGUGGAACUGAUACAUGGUCCAGACGCCUACGGGAGGCAGCAGUGGUGAAUAUUGCACAAUGGGCUCAAGCCGGAUGCAGCCAUGCCGCGUGUGUAAAGAAUGCCUUCGGGUUGUAAAGCGCUUUCAGCGGGGAGGCGUUACCCGCAGUAGAAGCACCGGCUAACUCCGUGCCAGCAGCCGCGGUAAUUC